CUUGAGCGAGCCCAGCCACGCGGGUCGGGCGCGGUUCUGGCCGUAGGUGGCGAGCAGCGCUUGGGCCUC
rnacentral:antisense_RNA from 1 species